rnacentral:lncRNA from 1 species
UGUGUUUUGGUUUUAGACAGAAUUUUAUUCAUGCGUAGCUCGAUAAACGUGACAGCACUUAAUUUCAAAGCAGGGGCAAACCAGUAAUAUCAAGUAAAAAUGAAGAAGUAAAUAAAUAAAGAGUGAAGCUCAAUUACUACUCUCACAUCAGCUGAGAUGGAGAGGAAUGAGGGUUCGAGAGAGUUUCAAUUUGGGAAUUUCGGAUGGGUGGGUUGCCCCUCUCUUCAUACCCCAUGAUUUCUUCAAUUUAACAAACAACAACAACAACAACAACCACCCUUGAAAAAAACAAAGAAGGGGAAUUACAGCUAUAUAAUAUGAUCCAUUUCCUCCACGACAACGCUUACAUCUGCGCCUUGCUCGCUUCUCCUUUCCUUUUCCUCUACUUCCACUUUCGCCGAGGCUGUGACGAUUAUAUUUUGUAUUGAAUUUCCAUCUGAGCUGCUGAAUCGGGCACUGAGAAUGCGCGGCCCGUAUCUUGGCGGGGCGACCCGGACGGCGUGCGGUGCGCGCAUGCAACCGGUGCUUCUGCAGCCAUGGCGUGGUCGCUUCUCUUUUGCCUGCUUGUGUAAUUUCCAGAUCUGAGCCUCCCCUUUUUCAAACGAAGCGAUUUAAACAAAUUUCCAAAUAUUUGAGUUAUGAUUUAAGUAGUACUAUAAAUUUAAUUGGAUCAUCAGUUACUAUUAUUAUGUUGUGUUAAAUAGAAUUACUUAAAAAUAAUAUUGAAAAUAUACAUGCAGAAAUUUAAUAAAUUUAUAGAAUGCUAUAAAAUUUUGGUGAAGUAUUUUGCAUGAGAUACAUGUAAAUACUAUACUUCGGAGCUAAAAUUUUACUCCUUCCGUCCGCCAAAAGUGGACCAUUUUUACUAUAUUGGGCGUCCGCAAAGAGUGUACCACUUUCCUUUUAUAGAAAUGGUCCCACCAUCCACUUUAAUCUUUUAUCCUUACAAACACUCUUUAUUUACAAAAAAACCACCCCAAAUUCAAUUUUAACCACACAUAUCAUAAAGUGGUGGGACCCUUUUUCCACUACAUCAAAAUCAUUACCAAUUUUCUUAAAUCCCGUGCGUAGCCAAAGUGGUCCACUUUUGGCGGACGGAGAGAGUAGUAUUUUUCUGACAUAUGAAAAAUAGGAUAAAAAAUCACAAUUAGCUGAAAGCCCAAUAAAAUCAAACUGAGCAAAAAGCCCACCAUUCUAAAUACAAGUGAAUUUUUAUUAUUAAAAAAAAUUGAAAAAUGGAGUAGAGAACAAAUAAAAUGACCGCAAACCCUAACAUUGUAGCGGCGCUUCUUCUUCUUCUUCUUCUUUUCAUUGCAUCUGUUCCAUUCUAUUCUCCAUUUUCUGUGUGAAUACAAGAAAUUGGGGGAUAGUGACUCAGAAGAAAAGAAUGAGGGUUUACAGCGAGAAAUUGGGAAUUUCUUCAAGGGUGGUUGCCCCUCUCUGUUAACCCAAUGAUUUCUCUGGUGAAAAAAAAUCCCAACCGCCCUUGUAGAAGAAGAAUAUGGUGAUUAUAUUCAUAGCCCCCAUUUACUCGCUCACACUCACACAUACAAAGUGAACGCACCCUAUCAUCUCUCUCUCUCUCUCUCUCUCAAUCAUAUAUGGGCUGUGAUGAUGAUUUUGGAUUCUUCUGAGCUAGUGGAUCGGGCAAGGUGAGACCCAUAUCUUGGCGGGGCGACCCGGACGGCAUCUGUUCAUCAGAUGCAACCGCUGGUUUCGCAGCCAUGGCGGUGUUCAUCUGCCCGAUCUCCGCCACAACAGAUCUGAGCCUCAUUUAAAUAAAUCUUCUUCUUUUUUGAAUUUUUGAAUUUCUUCUAUUCUUCUUUAAUUCCUACAUUUCCUACAUUUGGAGAAUGAGUUUUUGUUUUGUCUCUUCACAGA